AUCAGUGUAUUUUGUAUGGAGUUGCAACGUUUGCCUACGUUUGCCGCUAGGGGCGCUGUUCUAACUGCAUACAUAUUUGAGUUA
rnacentral:pre_miRNA from 1 species